CAGCAGCCGCGGUAAUACAGAGGGUGCGAGCGUUAAUCGGAUUUACUGGGCGUAAAGCGUGCGUAGGCGGCUUCUUAAGUCGGAUGUGAAAUCCCUGAGCUUAACUUAGGAAUUGCAUUCGAUACUGGGAAGCUAGAGUAUGGGAGAGGAUGGUAGAAUUCCAGGUGUAGCGGUGAAAUGCGUAGAGAUCUGGAGGAAUACCGGUGGCGAAGGCGGCCCCCUGGACAAAGACUGACGCUCAGGUGCGAAAGCGUGGGGAGCAAACAGGAUUAGAUACCCGAGUGUCCCUGUCUCUUAUACA
rnacentral:rRNA from 1 species